UACGUAGGGGGCAAGCGUUGUCCGGAAUCAUUGGGCGUAAAGCGCGUGUAGGCGGCUGAGUAAGUCUGCUCUGAAAGCCCGGGGCUCAACCCCGGGAGGCGGGUGGAUACUGCUCAGCUCGAGUCCGGAAGAGGAGUGUGGAAUUCCUGGUGUAGCGGUGAAAUGCGCAGAUAUCAGGAGGAACACCGGUGGCGAAGGCGGGUCUCUGGGCCGAUACUGACACUGAGGAGCGAAAGCGUGGGGAGCGAACAGG
rnacentral:rRNA from 1 species